GACGAACGCUGGCGGCGUGCUUAACACAUGCAAGUCGAACGGAAAGGCCCUGCUUUUGUGGGGUGCUCGAGUGGCGAACGGGUGAGUAACACGUGAGUAACCUGCCCUUGACUGUGGGAUAACUUCAGGAAACUGGGGCUAAUACCGGAUAGGAGCUCCUGCUGCAUGGUGGGGGUUGGAAAGUUUCGGCGGUUGGGGAUGGACUCGCGUCUUAUCAGCUUGUUGGUGGGGUAGUGUCUUACCAAGGCUUUGACGGGUAGCCGGCCUGAGAGGGUGACAGGCCAAAUUGGGAUUGAGCUAAGGCCCAGCCUCCUCCGGGAGGCAGCAGUGGGGAAUAGUGCACAAUGGGCGGAAGCAUGAUGCAGUACAGCAGUGUGCGGGAUGACGGCAUUCGGGUUGUAUACCGAUUUCCCCUGUGCCGAAGCGUGAGUGACGGUAAUGGGUAAAGAAGCACCGGCUAACUCCGUG
rnacentral:rRNA from 1 species